rnacentral:rRNA from 1 species
UAGGGAAUCUUCGGCAAUGGACGGAAGUCUGACCGAGCAACGCCGCGUGAGUGAAGAAGGUUUUCGGAUCGUAAAGCUCUGUUGUAAGAGAAGAACGAGUGUGAGAGUGGAAAGUUCACACUGUGACGGUAUCUUACCAGAAAGGGACGGCUAACUACGUGCCAGCAGCCGCGGUAAUACGUAGGUCCCGAGCGUUGUCCGGAUUUAUUGGGCGUAAAGCGAGCGCAGGCGGUUAGAUAAGUCUGAAGUUAAAGGCUGUGGCUUAACCAUAGUACGCUUUGGAAACUGUUUAACUUGAGUGCAAGAGGGGAGAGUGGAAUUCCAUGUGUAGCGGUGAAAUGCGUAGAUAUAUGGAGGAACACCGGUGGCGAAAGCGGCUCUCUGGCUUGUAACUGACGCUGAGGCUCGAAAGCGUGGGGAGCAAACAGGAUUAGAUACCCUGGUAGUCCACGCCGUAAACGAUGAGUGCUAGGUGUUAGACCCUUUCCGGGGUUUAGUGCCGUAGCUAACGCAUUAGGCACUCCGCCUGGGGAGUACGACCGCAAGGUUG